rnacentral:rRNA from 1 species
CAAGUCGAACGGGGUGGUGGGGCAACCCUGCCAUUCAGUGGCGAACGGGUGAGUAAUGCAUCGGAACGUGUCCCGCAGUGGGGGAUAACGCCGCGAAAGCGGCGCUAAUACCGCAUACGCUCUGCGGAGGAAAGCGGGGGCCCGGAAACGGCCUCGUGCUAUGGGGGCGGCCGAUGUCCGAUUAGGUAGUUGGUGGGGUAAUGGCCUACCAAGCCGACGAUCGGUAGCUGGUCUGAGAGGAUGAUCAGCCACACUGGGACUGAGACACGGCCCAGACUCCUACGGGAGGCAGCAGUGGGGAAUUUUGGACAAUGGGCGCAAGCCUGAUCCAGCCAUGCCGCGUGCGGGAAGAAGGCCUUCGGGUUGUAAACCGCUUUUAGCCGGGACGAAAGCGCCACGGAUAACACCCGUGGCGGUUGACGGUACCGGCGGAAUAAGCACCGGCUAACUACGUGCCAGCAGCCGCGGUAAUACGUAGGGUGCGAGCGUUAAUCGGAAUUACUGGGCGUAAAGCGUGCGCAGGCGGUUCGUUGUGUCGGCGGUGAAAGCCCCGGGCUCAACCUGGGAAUGGCCGUUGAAACUGGCGAACUGGAGUGUGGCAGAGGGGGGUGGAAUUCCGCGUGUAGCAGUGAAAUGCGUAGAGAUGCGGAGGAACACCGAUGGCGAAGGCAGCCCCCUGGGCUGACACUGACGCUCAGGCAC